AGUGAACGCUGGCGGCAGGCCUAACACAUGCAAGUCGAACGGCAGCACAAGAGAGCUUGCUCUCUGGGUGGCGAGUGGCGGACGGGUGAGGAAUGCAUCGGAAUCUGCCCAUUUGUGGGGGAUAACCUCGGGAAACCGGGACUAAUACCGCAUACGACCUACGGGUGAAAGCGGGGGAUCUUCGGACCUUGCGCAAAUGGAUGGGCCGAUGCCGGAUUAGCUAGUUGGAGGGGUAAAGGCCCACCAAGGCGACGAUCCGUAGCUGGUCUGAGAGGAUGAUCAGCCACACUGGAACUGAGACACGGCCCAGACUCCGACGGGAGGCAGCAGUGGGGAAUAUUGGACAAUGGGCGCAAGCCUGAUCCAGCCAUGCCGCGUGUGUGAAGAAGGCCUUCGGGUUGUAAAGCACUUUUGUUGGGAAAGAAAAGCAGCCGGUUAAUACCCGGUUGUCAUGACGGUACCCAAAGAAUAAGCACCGGCUAACUGCGU
rnacentral:rRNA from 1 species